UACGUAGGGUGCAAGCGUUAAUCGGAAUUACUGGGCGUAAAGCGUGCGCAGGCGGUUAUGUAAGACAGAUGUGAAAUGCCCGGGCUUAACCUGGGAACUGCAUUUGUGACUGCAUGGCUAGAGUUUGGCAGAGGGGGGUAGAAUUCCACGUGUAGCAGUGAAAUGCGUAGAUAUGUGGAGGAACACCGAUGGCGAAGGCAAUCCCCUGGGCCUGCACUGACGCUGAUGAGCGAAAGCCAGGGGAGCAAACGGG
rnacentral:rRNA from 1 species